ACACGGAGCCUCGUCAUGGAAGGGCUCCUCCUAACUAACCCAGUAACAUUUCCCGCCAGAAAAACAUCUCCCAAUCUUCAACUUCACCAUCCACUUCCAAACCCUCUCAACUGCUUCAUCAAAACAAAGAUAUCAUCAGUAGCAUCUUCACUGAUUGAGAUCCAAACUAACACCAAUCAGCAAACCAAUCCCUUCAAAUCUCCGUCCAGAAAACGGAGAUUUCUGAAGAAGGAUGCAUUCCCGUUGUCCUUACCCCUCCACACAAAGAACCCACAUAUCAUCUAUGAAGACAUCAAGAGAUUUGCUCGGCAAGGCAAGCUCAAGGAGGCCCUCACCAUCUUGGAUUACUUGGACCAGCAAGGCAUCCCAGUUAACGCAACCACUUUCUCUUCGCUCAUUGCGGCUUGUGUUCGAUCAAAGUCUCUCGUUGAAGGUAGGCAAGUCCAUGCCUUUAUCAGGAUAAAUGAGAUGGAGGACAACGAUUUCCUUCGGACCAAACUGGUUCACAUGUACACAUCAUGCGGCUCUAUUGAAGACGCGAAGAGGGUCUUCCAUGACCUCCCACAUGGGAGUGUCUAUCCAUGGAAUGCCUUACUCAGAGGCAAUGUUGUUAGAGGCGGGCGGCAAUACCGUGAAGUACUCACUGUGUAUACGAAAAUGCGAGAGCUGGGAGUUGAAUUGAACGUCUACACCUUCUCUUGUUUGCUGAAGAGCUUUGCGGGUUCCACUGCACUCACCCAGGGGAUGAAGACUCAUGCCCUUUUGAUCAAGAAUGGGUUUGCUAGUGGCUCCAUUAUUCUUCAGACUAGUUUAAUCGAUAUGUACUUCAAAUGCGGCAAGAUUAAGCUGGCGCGCCAAGUGUUUGAGGAAAUUCCGGAGAAAGAUGUUGUCAUGUGGGGAGCGAUGAUUGCAGGUUUUGCACAUAAUAGGUUGCAAAGGGAUGCAGUGACAUAUUCAAGGGAGAUGAUAAGGCAGGGGAUUGAACCGAAUUCAGCUAUUCUGACGAUGAUCCUCCCUGUGAUAGGAGAAUUAUGGGCCCGGAAAUUGGGCCGGGAAGUUCACGGGUAUGUGAUAAAGACAAAGGAUUAUGCAAAGCAUUUGUUCAUUCGGUCUGCGUUGAUUGAUAUGUAUUGCAAGUGUGGAGAUAUGGAUUCAGGAAGGCAGGUCUUCUACAGCUCAAUGGAAAGGAAUGCUGUUUCUUGGACUGCACUUAUGUCAGGUUAUGUAUCAAAUGGGAGGCUUGAGCAAGCUUUGAGGUCUAUAGUUUGGAUGCAGCAAGAAGGUGUGAAGCCCGAUGUCGUGACAAUUGCAACUGUUCUUCCUGUUUGUGCAAAGCUGAAAGCUCUAAAACAAGGGAAAGAGAUUCAUGGAUAUUUGGUGAAGAAUUGUUUUCUUCCCAAUGUGUCUUUAAUUACCUCUUUAAUAGGUUUGUACUCUAAGUGUGGUGGUCUAGAAAAUUGUCGCAAGUUGUUUGAUGGAAUGGAAAAGAGGAAUGUGAUCUCAUGGACAGCAAUGAUAGACGCUUACUUGAGUAACCACUGUCUUCAUGAAGCACUGGAGGUAUUUCGGUCCAUGCAGCUUUCUAAGCAUAGGCCGGAUUCCGUUGCUGUAGCAAGGAUUCUUAGUGCUUGUGGUGAACUGGGGAAUUUGAAACUUGGGAAAGAGUUACAUGGGUAUGUCUUAAAGAGAGAUUUUGAAUUGAUCCCCUUUAUUAGUGCAGAGAUUGUGAAAAUGUAUGGCAAGUGUCGAGUAAUUGAGAAAGCAAAGCUGGUGUUUAAUGCAAUGCCUUCUAAAGGAUCCAUGAUGUGGACUGCAAUUAUAGAGGUAUAUGGAUGUAACAAUAUAUAUAGAGGUGCACUCAAUCUCUUUAAUCAAAUGACAUCCGAUGGUUUCAGUCCAAACAAGUACACUUUUGAUGUGGUCUUAUCUAUUUGUGGUCAAGCUGGAUUUGCUGAUGAGGCUUGCAAAAUAUUUAAUUGUAUGACACGGAGGUACAAUAUCAAGCCAUCGGAAGAACAUUUUUCCAUCAUAAUUGAACUUCUUAGACGUACAGGAUGGUCUGAGGAAGCCCAAAGAUUUAUCCGUAUGAAAUCCCCUGGGGCAUGAGGAGGGAAGGGCCAAUUUAUUACUCAUUCACUUUACUCAUAAUAAGAAAAAGUGGGCAGAAGGUGAAUUGUGGUUUAAAGUGCAAGGUGAUUUUUGAAUUAUAUUGCACCCUCUCUCCUUUGCUCCCCUAGUGCCAUCCUUGCUGCCCUAAAAAGUAGAAGAAUGAGUUAGUUUCCUCAUACUUGGAAUAUCCAUAUGGUUUCUGAAGAUCUUUACUUGACAGAAAAUGUUUCUUCUACAAUAAGGUGAUCUAACGGAUAGGCUCCAAAUCCCUAGCCUUCCUUUCUGGUCUGGUACAGCAGCCUUAUGAGGGAACAGAUUGAUUUUGAGUUUCAAAUGGACUUUCUUGAAAUUAUGAAGAGUAUAUCAAAAAUGAUUUGAGAUGAGUUUGAGAAUUCUGAGUUAGAGAUUCUUGCUGAAAACAAGGGUGAAUCCUGGAUCCCAGAUGAUAAUGAACAUUUUGAAGAGCCCCAGUGAAAGAAAAAUACCAGAAGGAAAGACUAAUAUAUCUUGCCAAAACCAAUGGAUGCCCAUGGUAAAGGUCCUUGUUGAUGGAAUUUAUUUCUGAGGCAUAUUCCGGAAGAGAUGAGCAAAAAUGACCGCUGCUACUUUGUUUCAAAGAUGAUGAUUCUGGUUAAAUUAGCCCCAAGCAUAUAGCAUUAUAAAAAGCACUCCCUAUUUCCAUUUCGAGAGCCUAUACACUGACAAGGUAUUUGCAUGGGAUUGUCUCAAUGGAAAGCCCUGCCUAUUCUAUUUUGAGAACCUUUAUACUUUCAAGGCAUGUGCAUGAAGAUUGUCUCAAUGGUCUCAUUCAAAAGGUUUUUUAAAUAUGGUUAAGGAUUGAAAGCUAAGCAGGUAAAAUUACCUAUGCAUUGAUGAUUAGCAUGCUUACUGGAGAAUCAUUUGGCCAAUUCUCUCUCUUAACAUCCUUGCUGCUUGUGAGAGAGAUUAAGCAUCUGAAGCCUUCUCAUGUCUGCUUCCUUUCAAUUGGUCUGGCUCCAAGAGUUGGAGGAUGAUUGCUGAGGUACUCAAUUAUCUCAAUAGUGUAUGCAAGAGGCUUGUUGAUUUACCACAACUUUGAUUUUUGGUUUGCUCUAUGGUGUUUGAAGUCUAUUUUGAGGUAUAAAUAGUGUUCGGGACCCCAAAAUCAAAAUAAAAGUGAAGUUUUGAU